AGGACGAACGCUGGCGGCGUGCCUAACACAUGCAAGUGGAGCGACGACCCGGGCUUCGGCCCGGUGCAAAGCCGCGAACGGGUGAGUAACACGUGGGUAACCUGCCCUGAUGAUUGGGACAACCCGAGGAAACUCGGGCUAAUACCGAAUGUGCCCUCUGGCCGUAAGGCCUCUGGGGAAAGGAAGCUUCGGCCUCCGCAUUGGGAUGGGCCCGCGGCCCAUUAGCUUGUUGGUGAGGUAACGGCUCACAAAGGCAACGAUGGGUAGCUGGUCUGAGAGGACGAUCAGCCACACUGGGACUGAGACACGGCCCAGACUCCUACGGGAGGCAGCAGUGGGGAAUCUUGCGCAAUGCGCGAAAGCGUGACGCAGCAACGCCGCGUGGGGGAAGAAGGCCUUCGGGUUGUAAACCCUUUCAGUUGGGACGAAGCGUUCGGCGGUGAAUAGCCGCCGUGGAGUGACGGUACCUUCGAGAAGAACGCCCGGCUAACGUACGUGCCAGCAGCCGC
rnacentral:rRNA from 1 species